rnacentral:rRNA from 1 species
UACGUAGGUGGCAAGCGUUGUCCGGAUUUAUUGGGCUUAAAGGGUGCGUAGGUGGUCUAUUAAGUCAGUGCUGAAAUAUCCCGGCUUAACCGGGAGGGUGGCAUUGAUACUGAUGGACUUGAGUAAAGUUGAGGUUGGCGGAAUUGACGGUGUAGCGGUGAAAUGCUUAGAUAUCGUCAAGAACACCGAUAGCGAAGGCAGCUAACUAAGCUUUAACUGACACUGAUGCACGAAAGUGUGGGGAUCAAACAGG